UACGAAGGGGGCUAGCGUUGCUCGGAAUUACUGGGCGUAAAGCGCACGUAGGCGGCUUUCUAAGUCGGAGGUGAAAUCCUGGAGCUCAACUCCAGAACUGCCUUCGAUACUGGAGAGCUCGAGUCCGGGAGAGGUGAGUGGAACUGCGAGUGUAGAGGUGAAAUUCGUAUAUAUUCGCAAGAACACCAGUGGCGAAGGCGGCUCACUGGCCCGGUACUGACGCUGAGGUGCGAAAGCGUGGGGAGCAAACAGG
rnacentral:rRNA from 1 species